CUAUCAUGCUCCUAUUUAUAAAACUCAGUGCCUCUGUGAAAGAAAGCUGAUGGGGAUGCCUACAAUGGGGAGGGGAAUGUCCUGGAGAUGAAGAUCUGGCUGAGGAGGCAGAAAUUCUUGGGGAGACACCAUCUUUGCUCACAAGCUAGCUAGCAUAACUUCGGCUGUCACUCUAAUUUGCAAAGCGUUCAUCCACCACUGCUAUUCUAACUCCAAGAGGCUUAAGUGUAACAAGAGCUGGGAAAGUCAUUUAGCUGGACAAGGCCAGAUGUGAGGCUACAUGCAGAUUCCGCUAAACCAGACAACAAGAAUUAUUUCUGCUCUUGUAAGUCUGAAGACAGAAGAAGUGACAUAAAGUAAUUACUAAUUUCCUGCAGCUCAAAAUAUUACAAAAUAUGUUGUACGUUCGCUAGAGCUUUUAUUCAUAAAGAUAGUACCUUUGUGAAUAUAUAAAACCCCGGGGAAGGGGGAGUCAUAUUUUUGUUUUUAAAAAAAUAAGCCCUGCUUUUCCAAGGAUUUCUCUUAAUUAAGGAUAAAUCUAUAGAUGGGAAUAAAGAUGGAAUUAACAAUUCCUUGUCAACUUGUUAAAAUGCAAUACACAUAGACCUUGGCUUGUGACCAGUUGAAGGUGCAACUUG